UUCUUUAAGGUAAGGAGGUGAUCCAACCGCAGGUUCCCCUACGGUUACCUUGUUACGACUUCACCCCAGUCAUGAAUCACAAAGUGGUAAGCGCCCUCCCGAAGGUUAAGCUACCUACUUCUUUUGCAACCCACUCCCAUGGUGUGACGGGCGGUGUGUACAAGGCCCGGGAACGUAUUCACCGUGGCAUUCUGAUCCACGAUUACUAGCGAUUCCGACUUCAUGGAGUCGAGUUGCAGACUCCAAUCCGGACUACGACGCACUUUAUGAGGUCCGCUUGCUCUCGCGAGGUCGCUUCUCUUUGUAUGCGCCAUUGUAGCACGUGUGUAGCCCUGGUCGUAAGGGCCAUGAUGACUUGACGUCAUCCCCACCUUCCUCCAGUUUAUCACUGGCAGUCUCCUUUGAGUUCCCGGCCGGACCGCUGGCAACAAAGGAUAAGGGUUGCGCUCGUUGCGGGACUUAACCCAACAUUUCACAACACGAGCUGACGACAGCCAUGCAGCACCUGUCUCACGGUUCCCGAAGGCACAUUCUCAUCUCUGAAAACUUCCGUGGAUGUCAAGACCAGGUAAGGUUCUUCGCGUUGCAUCGAAUUAAACCACAUGCUCCACCGCUUGUGCGGGCCCCCGUCAAUUCAUUUGAGUUUUAACCUUGCGGCCGUACUCCCCAGGCGGUCUACUUAACGCGUUAGCUCCGGAAGCCACGCCUCAAGGGCACAACCUCCAAGUAGACAUCGUUUACGGCGUGGACUACCAGGGUAUCUAAUCCUGUUUGCUCCCCACGCUUUCGCACCUGAGCGUCAGUCUUUGUCCAGGGGGCCGCCUUCGCCACCGGUAUUCCUCCAGAUCUCUACGCAUUUCACCGCUACACCUGGAAUUCUACCCCCCUCUACAAGACUCAAGCCUGCCAGUUUCGAAUGCAGUUCCCAGGUUGAGCCCGGGGAUUUCACAUCCGACUUGACAGACCGCCUGCGUGCGCUUUACGCCCAGUAAUUCCGAUUAACGCUUGCACCCUCCGUAUUACCGCGGCUGCUGGCACGGAGUUAGCCGGUGCUUCUUCUGCGGGUAACGUCAAUUGCUGCGGUUAUUAACCACAACACCUUCCUCCCCGCUGAAAGUACUUUACAACCCGAAGGCCUUCUUCAUACACGCGGCAUGGCUGCAUCAGGCUUGCGCCCAUUGUGCAAUAUUCCCCACUGCUGCCUCCCGUAGGAGUCUGGACCGUGUCUCAGUUCCAGUGUGGCUGGUCAUCCUCUCAGACCAGCUAGGGAUCGUCGCCUUGGUGAGCCGUUACCUCACCAACAAGCUAAUCCCAUCUGGGCACAUCUGAUGGCAAGAGGCCCGAAGGUCCCCCUCUUUGGUCUUGCGACGUUAUGCGGUAUUAGCCACCGUUUCCAGUAGUUAUCCCCCUCCAUCAGGCAGUUUCCCAGACAUUACUCACCCGUCCGCCACUCGUCAGCAAAGCAGCAAGCUGCUUCCUGUUACCGUUCGACUUGCAUGUGUUAGGCCUGCCGCCAGCGUUCAAUCUGAGCCAUGAUCAAACUCUUCAAUUUAAAAGUUUGAUGCUCAAUGAAUUAAACUUCGUAAUGAAUUACGUGUUCACUCUUGAGACUUGGUAUUCAUUUUUCGUCNNNNNNNNNNNNNNNNNNNNGA
rnacentral:rRNA from 1 species